rfam:Sorghum bicolor cultivar BTx623 chromosome 1, whole genome shotgun sequence.
AUUCCAUGAUGGGGACAUUCUAGGAUGUAGUCUUGAAAGCGCUCCCAUGCUUCUGGAACGGAUUCAUCAUUUUGUUGCUGAAAACUUGUAAUCUCCCCACGGAGAGC